rnacentral:rRNA from 1 species
GACGAACGCUGGCGGCGUGCCUAACACAUGCAAGUCGAACGCUGAAGAGAGGAGCUUGCUCGCCUUGCUUGAGUUGCGAACGGGUGAGUAACGUGUAGGUAACCCGCCUUGUUGCGGGGGAUAACUAUCUGAAACGAUAGCUAAUACCGCAUAACCAUCGCUGACCCAUGUCAUUUAUUUGAAAGGCGCAAAUGCUUCACUUCAAGAUGGACCUGCGUUGCAUUAGCUUGUAGGGGGGGUAACGGCUUACCUAGGCCACGAUCCAUAGCCGGCCUGAGAGGGGGAUCGGCCACACUGGGACCGGGACAAGGCCCAAGACUCUACGGGGGGGAGCCAGAGGGGAUCUUUGGAAAAGGGGGGAAAGCUGGACGCAGAACGGCGGGGGGGAGGAGGAAGGUUUCGGGUCGGUAAAGUCCGUUGUGAGUGGAGGAAGGGAGUAAAGGUGAAAAGUUCACACAGUGACGGUAGCUGAAGAAGAAGCGACGGCUAACUACGUG